rnacentral:rRNA from 1 species
CCUACGGGGAGCAGCAGUGAGGAAUAUUGGUCAAUGGGCGAGAGCCUGAACCAGCCAAGUCGCGUGAGGGAGUACUGCCCUAUGGGUUGUAAACCUCUUUUGUCGGGGAGCAAAAGCCGGACGUGUCCGGCUGUGAGAGUACCCGAAGAAAAAGCAUCGGCUAACUCCGUGCCAGCAGCCGCGGUAAUACGGAGGAUGCGAGCGUUAUCCGGAUUUAUUGGGUUUAAAGGGUGCGCAGGCGGAUUUUUAAGUCAGCGGUAAAAUCGUGGGGCUCAACCCCAUCCAGCCGUUGAAACUGGGGAUCUAGAGUGUGCGAGAGGUAUGCGGAAUGCGUGGUGUAGCGGUGAAAUGCAUAGAUAUCACGCAGAACCCCGAUUGCGAAGGCAGCAUACCGGUGCACAACUGACGCUCAGGCACGAAAGCGUGGGUAUCGAACAGGAUUAGAUACCCUAGUAGUC